CAGAGAGUUGUAAACAAGCACAAGCCAAACACAACAUAGUGCAUAUAUGUAACAUGAUAAAGUUAGUAAUUAGCGUUGAUUGUAGCUGAAAGACCAGAUCCGUGUGUCCUGCCUAGCUAUUCUUCUUCAGUUCUAUCUGCUGCAACUUUAAGACCCAUGUGUCCUGGUUUCCCCUUCCAUGGUAUGGUUUUCCUUAUUAUCGCUUCUUCGUGAUCAGUGAUCCACACGCUCAUCUUGAGGAUUCACCAUAUUAUACUUGUAGGAGAUAGCAUUUUUGGCCUUCAGUCUUUUCAUGGGCGUC
rnacentral:lncRNA from 1 species